rnacentral:rRNA from 1 species
AUUGAACGCUGGCGGCAGGCCUAACACAUGCAAGUCGAGCGGGGUUUUCGGACCUAGCGGCGGACGGGUGAGUAAUGCGUAGGAAGCUGCCCGAUAGAGGGGGAUACCAGUUGGAAACGACUGUUAAUACCGCAUAAUGUCUACGGACCAAAGUGUGGGACCUUCGGGCCACAUGCUAUCGGAUGCGCCUACGUGGGAUUAGCUAGUUGGUGAGGUAAUGGCUCACCAAGGCGACGAUCUCUAGCAGGUUUGAGAGGAUGAUCAGCCACACUGGACCUGAGACACGGUCCAGACUCCUACGAGAGGCAGCAGUGGGGAAUAUGGGACAAUGGGCGCAAGCCUGGUCCAGCCAUGCCGCGUGUGUGAAGAAGGCCGUCGGGUUGUAAAGCACUUUCAGCGAGGAGGAAGGGGUGUGUGUUAAUAGUACACACCUUUGACGUUACUCGCAGAAGAAGCACCGGCUAACUCUGUGCCAGCCGCCGCAGUAAAAC